CAGUGGGGAAUAUUGCACAAUGGGGGAAACCCUGAUGCAGCCAUGCCGCGUGUGUGAAGAAGGCCUUCGGGUUGUAAAGCACUUUCAGUUGUGAGGAAAAGCUAGUAGUUAAUACCUGCUAGCCGUGACGUUAACAACAGAAGAAGCACCGGCUAACUCCGUGCCAGCAGCCGCGGUAAUACGGAGGGUGCGAGCGUUAAUCGGAAUUACUGGGCGUAAAGCGCACGCAGGCGGUUUGUUAAGCUAGAUGUGAAAGCCCCGGGCUCAACCUGGGAUGGUCAUUUAGAACUGGCAGACUAGAGUCUUGGAGAGGGGAGUGGAAUUCCAGGUGUAGCGGUGAAAUGCGUAGAUAUCUGGAGGAACAUCAGUGGCGAAGGCGACUCCCUGGCCAAAGACUGACGCUCAUGUGCGAAAGUGUGGGUAGCGAACAGGAUUAGAUACCCUGGUAGUCCACACCGUAAACGCUGUCUACUAGCUGUGUGUGAAUUUAAUUCGUGCGUAGCGAAGCUAACGCGCUAAGUAGACCGCCUGGGGAGUACGGCCGCAAGGUUAAAACUCAAAUGAAUUGACGGGGGCCCGCACAAGCGGUGGAGCAUGUGGUUUAAUUCGAUGCAACGCGAAGAACCUUACCUACACUUGACAUGCAGAGAACUUUCCAGAGAUGGAUUGGUGCCUUCGGGAACUCU
rnacentral:rRNA from 1 species